AGAGUUUGAUCAUGGCUCAGGAUGAACGCUAGCUACAGGCUUAACACAUGCAAGUCGAGGGGAAACGACAUCGAAAGCUUGCUUUUGAUGGGCGUCGACCGGCGCACGGGUGAGUAACGCGUAUCCAACCUGCCCACCACUUGGGGGAUAACCUUGCGAAAGUAAGACUAAUACCCAAUGACGUCUCUAGAAGACAUCUGAAAGGGAUUAAAGAUUUAUCGGUGAUGGAUGGGGAUGCGUCUGAUUAGCUUGUUGGCGGGGUAACGGGCCACCAAGGCUACGGAUCAGUAGGGGUUCUGAGAGGAAGGUCCCCCACAUUGGAACUGAGACACGGUCCAAACUCCUACGGGAGGCA
rnacentral:rRNA from 1 species